rnacentral:rRNA from 1 species
AUUAGCUAGUUGGUAGGGUAAAGGCCUACCAAGGCGAUGAUCGUUAACUGGUCUGAGAGGAUGAUCAGUCACACUGGAACUGAGACACGGUCCAGACUCCUACGGGAGGCAGCAGUGGGGAAUAUUGGGCAAUGGGGGCAACCCUGAUCCAGCAAUGCCGCGUGUGUGAAGAAGGCCUUCGGGUUGUAAAGCACUUUUGGCAGGGAGGAAGGUGUAGAGUUUAAGAGACACUACAUUUGACUGUACCUGCAGAAUAAGCACCGGCUAACUCUGUGCCAGCAGCCGCGGUAAUACAGAGGGUGCAAGCGUUAAUCGGAGUUACUGGGCGUAAAGGGCGCGUAGGCGGUCUUAUAAGUGAGAUGUGAAAUCCCUGGGCUUAACCUAGGAACUGCAUCUCAUACUGUAAGACUGGAGUAUUGUAGAGGGUAGUGGAAUUUCCGGUGUAGCGGUGAAAUGCGUAGAGAUCGGAAGGAACACCAGUGGCGAAGGCGGCUACCUGGACAAAUACUGACGCUGAGGCGCGAGAGCGUGGGGAGCAAACAGGAUUAGAUACCCUGGUAGUCCACGCUGU